AGCGCUCCUCCAUGGUACACGCCAAGCAGCCAGCCCAGGCCGGGAAGAACACCCGGCGCCGGCGGCGCACCUCCCUCGCGGCUACCUGCGAGCGACGCGCCUCCCCGGCAGCGGCGACUCCUCCGAGCGCUCCUCCAUGGGACGGAACGGACGGCACGGUCUAAGGUAGGAGCGCGAGGCAGCUGUUCCCGCACAGGCCCACAAACCACUGGCCCACCAGCAGAAAUCGUUGACCGCUGAAAACGCACCGGCAAAGCGCUGAGGAUGCACCGAUUGCAACAGGCUUACAUGUUGUAAAUAAUUCAAGGAUUACUUCAGUCUCCAAAAAUACUGAAGUAUUAAAUAUUGUUUGUUUGGAUCUGAUAAACAUUGUGCUUUUUAAAUUGAAGUAUUAUCUAAAUUAUAAGUUUUUUUUA